rnacentral:rRNA from 1 species
AUUGAACGCUGGCGGCAUGCCUUACACAUGCAAGUCGAACGGUAACGGGCCUUCGGGUGCCGACGAGUGGCGAACGGGUGAGUAAAGCAUCGGAACGUACCUUUCAGUGGGGGAUAACGUAGCGAAAGUUACGCUAAUACCGCAUAUUCUGUGAGCAGGAAAGCAGGGGAUCGCAAGACCUUGCGCUGAUUGAGCGGCCGGUGUCAGAUUAGCUAGUUGGUGAGGUAAAGGCUCACCAAGGCGACGAUCUGUAGCGGGUCUGAGAGGAUGAUCCGCCACACUGGAACUGAGACACGGUCCAGACUCCUACGGGAGGCAGCAGUGGGGAAUUUUGGACAAUGGGGGCAACCCUGAUCCAGCCAUGCCGCGUGAGUGAAGAAGGCCUUCGGGUUGUAAAGCUCUUUCGGUCGGGAAGAAAUCGCAUGGGUUAAUACCCUGUGCGGAUGACGGUACCGGCAUAAGAAGCACCGGCUAACUACGUGCCAGCAGCCGCCGUAACAC